rnacentral:rRNA from 1 species
AAUCGGAAUUACUGGGCGUAAAGCGCAUGCAGGUGGUUUGUUAAGUCAGAUGUGAAAGCCCGGGGCUCAACCUCGGAAUUGCAUUUGAAACUGGCAAACUAGAGUACUGUAGAGGGGGUAGAAUUUCAGGUGUAGCGGUGAAAUGCGUAGAGAUCUGAAGGAAUACCGGUGGCGAAGGCGGCCCCCUGGACAGAUACUGACACUCAGAUGCGAAAGCGUGGGGAGCAAACAGGAUUAGAUACCCUGGUAG